rnacentral:rRNA from 1 species
UAUUGGACAAUGGGCGCAAGCCUGAUCCAGCCAUGCCGCGUGGAUGAUGAAGGCCUCCCCCGUUGUAAAGUCCUUUUAACGGGGAAGAUAAUGACGGUACCCGUAGAAUAAGCCCCGGCUAACUUCAUGCCAGCAGCCGCGGUAAUACGAAGGGGGCUAGCGUUGCUCGGAAUUACUGGGCGUAAAGCGCACGUAGGCGGGUUCUUAAGUCGGUGGUGAAAUCCUGGAGCUCAACUCCAGAACUGCCUUCGAUACUGGGAAUCUUGAGUCCGGGAGAGGUGAGUGGAACUGCGAGUGUAGAGGUGAAAUUCAUAGAUAUUCGCAAGAACACCAGUGGCGAAGGCGGCUCACUGGCCCGGUACUGACGCUCAUGCACGAAA